GCCUGUCUCUCCACAAAUGAGUAAUCCAAUCUGUGGUCAAGGACCAUAGCAAAUUAAAAACCAAUCUAACCCAGAGGCAGAAAGAAGUACAGUACCAGAUGCUUUAUUGGAAAACUGUGCUAAUUACAUAGGUGAAGACAGACAACGGAGCAGGAAUUCAGCUUAACUUAAGAGUGACCAGACUUUGAAGGUGAAAAUACCUGAGCAUUCACUCCAAAAAUCCUAGCAGUUGUGCUUAGCACCAAAAAAGAAAAGUCAUAAAUAGCUGCUGGAAUAGCUUCAACCACCACUGACAUGCAGCUAUGAUGGAGUUCCACAGUACAGUGCAGAGCUUUGGAGAACCGUUCAGAAGAAGAAGUGGGGAAUAAUGCCAUCACUAGUUAAAAACUUAGCAUGAAAUUGGAAUCUCUAACGACUAUAAGGUGAAAGAAGGACAUUGGGUUUACAUCUCAUCCAAAGUACCACACCUCCAGAAGCACAGAUUCUGGUAGCACCAUGCUAAGAAAUGGAUUAAGUACUGACUCAAAGGGAAGAGUGCCACCUAUUGAAUAACUAACCGCCUCAAGGAGUGGAAUUAUACAUUAUCCAAGAACCUGCAAUAGCCUAGGGUUAUAAGUGUGAAUUAUUUUUCUCUUGAAUGGAUGGCACGCAACCUUAAUUAUGUACAGAUCGGCUGAUGGCAAUAUUCAGAAGGAGAUAUCUACCAGAAUUGGUCUUGCAGCAAACGC